rnacentral:rRNA from 1 species
CCUACGGGUGGCAGCAGUGGGGAAUAUUGCACAAUGGGCGCAAGCCUGAUGCAGCGACGCCGCGUGAGCGAUGAAGGCCUUCGGGUCGUAAAGCUCUGUCCUAAGGGAAGAAUAAUGACGGUACCUUAGGAGGAAGCCCCGGCUAACUACGUGCCAGCAGCCGCGGUACUACGCAGGGGGCGAGCGUUAUCCGGAAUCACUGGGCGCAAAGGGUGCGUAGGCGGCCCUGCAAGUCAGGAGUUAAAUCCCUAGGCUCAACCGGGGUCAGCUCGUGAAACUGAAGGGCUUGAGUGCAGGAGAGGAGAGCGGAAUGCCUAGGGUAGCGUUGAAGUGCGUAGUGAUUAGGAGGAACACCAGGGGGGUAGGCGGCUCUCUGGACUGCAACUGACGCUGGGGCACGAGAGCGUGGGGAGCGAACAGGAUUAGAUAACCGAGUAGUC